UACAGAGGUCUCAAGCGUUGUUCGGAUUCAUUGGGCGUAAAGGGCGCGUAGGCUGCGGGGCAAGUCGGGUGUGAAAUCUCAGAGCUCAACUCUGAAACUGCACUCGAUACUGCUUUGCUCGAGGACUGGAGAGGAGAUUGGAAUUCACGGUGUAGCAGUGAAAUGCGUAGAUAUCGUGAGGAAGACCAGUGGCGAAGGCGGAUCUCUGGACAGUUCCUGACGCUGAGGCGCGAAGGCCAGGGGAGCAAACAGG
rnacentral:rRNA from 1 species